UGGGAAUUUGGACAAUGGGCGAAAGCCUGAUCCAGCAAUGCCGCGUGUGUGAAGAAGGCCUUCGGGUUGUAAAGCACUUUUGUCCGGAAAGAAAUCCUUGGCUCUAAUACAGUCGGGGGAUGACGGUACCGGAAGAAUAAGCACCGGCUAACUACGUGCCAGCAGCCGCGGUAAUACGUAGGGUGCAAGCGUUAAUCGGAAUUACUGGGCGUAAAGCGUGCGCAGGCGGUUUGCUAAGACCGAUGUGAAAUCCCCGGGCUCAACCUGGGAACUGCAUUGGUGACUGGCAGGCUAGAGUAUGGCAGAGGGGGGUAGAAUUCCACGUGUAGCAGUGAAAUGCGUAGAGAUGUGGAGGAAUACCGAUGGCGAAGGCAGCCCCCUGGGCCAAUACUGACGCUCAUGCACGAAAGCGUGGGGGAGCAAACAGGAUUAGAUACCCUGGUAGUCCACGCCCUAAACGAUGUCAACUAGUUGUUGGGGAUUCAUUUCCUUAGUAACGUAGCUAACGCGUGAAGUUGACCGCCUGGGGAGUACGGUCGCAAGAUUAAAACUCAAAGGAAUUGACGGGGUCAU
rnacentral:rRNA from 1 species